UACGUAGGGCGCAAGCGUUGUCCGGAAUUAUUGGGCGUAAAGAGCUCGUAGGCGGUUUGUCGCGUCUGGUGUGAAAUCUCAAGGCUCAACCUUGAGCUUGCAUUGGGUACGGGCAGACUAGAGUGCGGUAGGGGUGACUGGAAUUCCUGGUGUAGCGGUGGAAUGCGCAGAUACCAGGAGGAACACCGAUGGCGAAGGCAGGUCACUGGGCCGCAACUGACGCUGAGGAGCGAAAGCAUGGGUAGCGAACAGG
rnacentral:rRNA from 1 species